UACAGAGGUCUCAAGCGUUGUCCGGAUUCAUUGGGCGUAAAGAGCUCGUAGGCGGUUCGAUAAGUCGGGUGUGAAACCUCCAGGCUCAACCUGGAGACGCCACCCGAUACUGUCGUGACUAGAGUCCAGUAGGGGAGCGUGGAAUUCCUGGUGUAGCGGUGGAAUGCGCAGAUAUCAGGAGGAACACCGGUGGCGAAGGCGGUUCUCUGGGCAUGUCCUGACGCUGAGGAGCGAAAGUGUGGGGAGCGAACAGG
rnacentral:rRNA from 1 species